GUCCCGGUAGCUCAGCAGGAUAGAGCAGCCGCCUCCUAAGCGGCAGGUCGCAGGUUCGACUCCUGCCCGGGACGCCA
rnacentral:tRNA from 1 species